rnacentral:rRNA from 1 species
GACAGAGGGUGGAAACGUUGCUCGGAAUCACUGGGCGUAAAGGGCGUGUAGGCGGGAAUGUAAGUCGGGCGUGAAAUCCCUAGGCUCAACCUAGGAACUGCACUCGAAACUGCGUUUCUUGAGUACUGGAGAGGAAGGCGGAAUACCUGGUGUAGAGGUGAAAUUCGUAGAUAUCAGGUGGAACACCAGCGGCGAAGGCGGCUUUCUGGACAGUAACUGACGCUGAGACGCGAAAGCGUGGGGAGCAAACAGG